rnacentral:tRNA from 1 species
ACCUGAGUGGCUCAGUGAUUGAGCGUCUGCCUUUGGCUCAGGUCAUGAUCCCGGGGUUGUGGGAUCGAUUCCCACAUCAGGCU